GAAAUGCGAUAAGUAAUGUGAAUUGCAGAAUUCCGUGAAUCAUCGAAUCUUUGAACGCACAUUGCGCCCUCUGGCAUUCCGGGGGGCAUGCCUGUCCGAGCGUCAUUACGCACCCUCAAGCCCGGCUUGUGUGAUGGGUGUUUGUCCCGUCUCCGCGCGUGGACUCGCCCCAAAGUGAUUGGCAGCCGGCGUACUGGUCCCGGAGCGCAGCACAUGUCGCGCAAACGAGUGCCUUGGUACGGCGGCGUCCAUAAGCCCCUCUCUCACGCUCUUGACCUCGGAUCAGGUAGGGAUACCCGCUGAACUUAAGC
rnacentral:misc_RNA from 1 species